ensembl:lncRNA
CCUCAGAGGUGGUGUCGGAGAAGGCAAUGGAAACCCACUCUAGUAUUCUUGCCUGGAGAAUCCCAUGGAUGGAGGAGCCUGGUGGGCUGCCGUCUAUGGGGUCGCACAGAGUCGGACACGACUGAAGCGACUUAGCAGCAGCAGCAGCAGAGGUGGUGUAUUUUGCGGAGCCUCCUGGCCUGACUUCCGUUUGUUUACAAGGCAGGUCUCCCAGUGCAGAGGGAAAGGAGGGGAAUUAAAGAGCCGGAUUGAUAGGAUACUGCAGGGCCGCACUGUCUCACAGCCCUUCUUAGAACCCGAAUACUCUCAGCUCAGAACCUCUUUAGACAAUCAGUCACUUCAAGCCUCUUACCAAACAGAUGGGGAAACAGGCUCUGAGGGGAGAAUUUCUGUCUCACGCCUAGGGUUAAGAUUCAAAUCUACUUGGAUCCCCCAGCCUCCAUUAAAGGACUGUUUAGAACAGACACUCUGUGAUUGUCUUCCUCAUCUCUGGAGGGUCUUGCAUAUUUCUGGAGCAUUCCACACUCUUUCUGGAAGAAGAGAAGGCUCCGCUGGGAUGGGGGGAACAGAUUUUCCAGCAUGAUUCUGUACCAGCUGAGUGAGGGACUGUGCUUACCCUUGAGGAACUCCCAACUUAGCAAAACACACACAUGGACAGAAAAAACAGGCUGAGAAAAACACUGUGAGUACCCCCAGAAGGAGACUGCCAACUUUUGUCUGUGAGAUUCAGGAAAAGUCCCAGAGAGAAGGUGCCAUCUGAGCUGACUCUGAAAAGAUGAGCUGGCUUGAAUGAGAGCAAUGAAGAAGGAGCCCUCCCCCUCUGGUUAAGAAGCUUGCCCUGGUUGUGGGAAGAACUAGAGCUGAGCCGCACAGUUUGGUUGGACCGAUCCCGACUCCUUCUCCCGUCCCCACGCUGAGCCAAGCCUGGUCUGCUGCGGAGGACCUUGGUCCCCACAUGCCUCUCUGGGUCCUGGAAACUCAGCACCUUUGCCUCUGCUCUGACCUCCAGCCCUGUGUCUAAGUGCCCCUUGGACUUCCUGCAGACUGGAGUCUUUGUUACCAGCUUUCCACUUAUUCUGGGGCUCCAGCUCUGCCCCACGUCAUGAGGAACCAGGAGGAAGGCUCCCUGAGAGGUUUCUCAGGGCCCAAAGUCCAGAGGAAAACAGGCUAACUCACCUGCUUCUGCCUGGUUCUAUACUUUGGCCCAGAAAGUAACUGCACAAAUGUAGGGUAGAGAAGUAUGACUUAGCAGCAACAUAGAAAACAAAACUUAGGAUUUGAGUUUAUGAUAAGCUGGGGCUUCCCUAGUGGCUCAGACGGUAAAGAAUCUGCCUGCAACACAGGAGACUGGGUUUGAUCCCUGGGUCCGGAAGAUCCCCUGGAGAAGGGAAUGGCAACCCACUCCAGU